rnacentral:lncRNA from 1 species
GGCCCUACUUGCAGCAUAUGGAAGUUCCCUGGCCACGGUUCAAAUCAGAGCUGCAGCGGCUGGCCACAGCCACAGCCACUGCAACAGCAACAGAGGAUCUGAGCCACAUCUACAACCAAAGCCACAGCUUGCCACACCAAAUCCUUAAUCCACCGAGUGAAGCCAAGGAUCAAACCUGUGUCCUCAUGGAGACUAGCUGGGUUCUUAACCUGCUGAGCCACAGUGGGAACUCUGAAAUACAACAAAUAGUUACAUUAAUAAAAUAAGCAGAGUGCAAAUGAAUGUCAACUUAUAUUUGAAAUCAGUGGGUAAUUAUUCUAAGAAGGUUUUGUUUGUUUUUUUAUUUGUUUUUAAAUAAGACAGUUGUGGAGUUGCAGUCAUGACUCAGCAGGGUGGAGCCCUUGAAUGGGAUUAGUGCCCUUAGAAGAGUCCUGAGAGAGUUUACUUCCUCUCUCUGCCAUGUGAAGAUGCAAUGAGAUUUAAAACUGGCCAUCUGAUGGCAGGGUGAAGUGGGGUAGGUGGGAGACUAGUGGGAUUAAGACAUAAGAAUCCAGGAGUUCCCAGAGUGGUGCAGUGGUUAACAAAUCCAACUAGGAACCAUGAGGUUGCAGGUUCAAUCCCUGGCCUUGCUCAGUGGGUUAAGAAUCUGGUGUUGCUGUGAGCUGUGGUGUAUGUCACAGACGUGGCUCGGAUCCUGCAUUGCUGUGGCUCUGGUGUAGGCCACCACAGAAACGCCAGAUCCGAGCCGCAUCUGCGACCUACACAAUGCUGGAUCCUUAACCCACUGAAGGAGGCCAGGGAUCGAACCUGCUUCCUCAUGGAUACUAGUCAGAUUCGUUUCCACUGAGCCACGAUGGGAACUCCCUAACCUUACAUUUUUAAUCCAUAUUGUCUUCAGGUGUGUAUAAAGAUUUCCAAAGAAAGAUUUGGUGAAGUAACUUCCAGAGUUGCUCAUAUAUGUUACUCAUGAUAUUUUUCUCGCAUAGGAAGACUAAUACAUUAAGCUUGUCUACAUUUCAAUGUUAUAUGUUUUACUCAUUCACUUAGUUUGCUGGUGAUUUCAGUGUCACAUGGCAGCCAGAGAAAGGACAUGGAAAACAUUUAGAUGCAGGACUUGGGGUUUUAACUUCAAACGCCCACACCCAAUGCUUCUGGCGAGAAAUAACAAAAUAUUUGCCUCUGAGAUAGCGAACCUCGCCUCCAUACACAAUCGACGACACAUUCCGUUGGCAAGCUUCACGCAAUGCCCUCUCCCCUAAAGAGGAUGGAAGCCGUUCUCACAAGAUGAGAAGCUCCAGGAACACACACCAUGCUCCAAAAACUUAGAUCGUCUUAGACGAUUGUUCAUCGAAUUUAAGGGUAAAUGUCAAGAGACAUGUUUUGCUAAGAGUUAAAAUUUCAACAUAGACCAACUCCGGCGGGCAUGAGGCUUUUAUCUGCACAGAACCCUCUCCCAGCCCCCAGGAUCCCAUGCCCAGAGGAAGAAUAGACACCUUGGUUUGUCACCCCAGGGUGACAGAGUUGUGUGUCUUCUUUUGUCUUUCCAAGUCAUUUCUUUCCUCCAAGGACUCUGCAUGCUUUAUGUACAGAACCAACCCAUGGCUUUGCUGACAUAUUUUGCCCAAGUUGGCAUUAUACACUUGUGCCAAUCACCAGUGAAAGGUGAUUACUUAUUCAGGAGAGAGGAGCUUUGAAGAAUAGUGGGACACGGUUCCAUCUAAAUGACACAUUUUAUCUGUUUUUCAAAUCAUUCAUGGAAAAUACUGACAUAAAGUGCCAAUUAUUUUUUCCCAUGAAUAGGGCUGGCAGUCUUAUUGUAUACUUUAAAAGUCACUUACAAUUUGCUCACAUUUUUUUUAAUUCCCCAGGGAAAAGGAUGUCUUUUCUUGGCUCUAAAGAUUAAAGUUCAAUUUGACUUCCUAUUUUCUGAAAGGGACUCAAAGACACUGCAGUCUUAGCUCCUCCUAGAUAGCGCUACAAGCUGUAAAUUUGGUGAUUGAUGUCUACUAGGUUUGGCCUGGAGAGGCU